rnacentral:lncRNA from 1 species
AUAAUUUUUCUUUUUCAGUCAAGUCACUAAGGUGUCUCUCUGUCUUUGAAGAGGUAGUACUAGUAGUUUUGGAAUUGGGAUUUGUUUGUUUUGCUGAGGUUGGGGGAAGUCCUGGAAGACCUGGGAGUCCUGGAAGGCUUGGGAGAGGAGGCAGUGGUGGUAGUGGUGGAAGAAAAGGGAUCAGAUUACGGAUAGAAUCACCAAAGUCGGAUUCUUGAACUGGUGAGGGAAAUGCCAGUUCCUCAGUUGGAGAAAAUAAUGAGAGUUUCUCUGAAUUAGUGGUAACUUCCUUGGUGUUUCGGAUGAGGCUUGGUUUUUGGUUGCAUAGGUUGGGCUGCUUUAGAGGUUUAAAGGUGAAAAACCCAGCUGAGAAAAUGUGAGUGCCUUGCUUCCUUGACGUGAGGUGAAGUGAAGAUGAAGCUGCUGCUGAGGCGACAGCACAAUACGGUUCGCUGCUGCGAAUUAGCUUCACGGAACAGCCUUCAAUUUUCUUGACAUGUUUGCUGACUGAGAAAGGCAAUUGGACUUUGAACACUCCUUGGUUAUCUGUCUUCACUUGUGCUUGAAAGCUUGGUUUUGAUGAAGUCACAUCUUUGCAUUCCACACCAACAGAAGCCCCUGCAUAAAAAAAGAUAAUUGAUAUAACCAUGACAUUUUAGACAUAUGAUUUGAUUGAGUAAUGUUGAAAAUGUGAAAAGGGUUUGUUACCUGAAAUGAAGUGGCUGGAUUUUGAGAUCCCAUCUUGGAAACAUGUCUCACAGUAAACUUUGCCUAUAACCACAGCAGGUUGAAGCUUCUUCUCCUGGCUAGCCUCUGAAGGAGUACUUAAUGUGAGACUAAUGAGGAAGAAUAUGGUUAGAAACCAAGACAUUUUAGACCCCUCUAUCUAAGAAACUCUAUUGCUUUUAAUUUCUAAGAUGAGUUGAGAGGUUGAGCUUUUAUAUAAGUUUCUGGGGCUCAAGUUUCUUCUGGUUGUUAAUUUGGAUGUUAAAAUUGAAAUUUAGAAUUUUCUGACCUGAAGCUUCUUAAUUUAUUUCACUCAUGGAAAAACCAGUCAACUGCAAACUACAAGCAGUGAAUGUAUAGGUGAUCCUUUCCUACCACCAAACAAACCGUACCAAAAGGAGAAGGUAAUUAUUUUGUGUAGUAUUGGUGAGGUUAUGUGAGGUUGGUUAAAUUUAAGAAAGAGGCAUGCACCUAGUUUUGCUUUGCUGGUGUUUUUGUUUAUUUUAUAUUAAUUGGAGUUUGUUUCUAUGUUGGUACGUGUAAGAAAUAUGCCAAACAGAAUCGGGUCCAUGUUAGUUC